CCUGGCCUGUGUGCUCUGCUUAUCCUGAAAACCCCAUCUGGCGCGACCUUUGUAAACGAUGGGGGUGUAGUCCCCUGCCCUUGGGGCUGCUUCUGGAAGCAGAAGCAGAAGCCUUGCUUCCUCUGUUCCUUCCUUCCUCCCUCCUUCCUCCCUCCCUUCCUUCCUUCCGUCCUUCCUUCCUCCUUCCUUCCUUCCGUCCUUCCUUCCUUCCAUCCUUCCUUCCUUCCAUCCUUCCUUCCUUCCGUCCUUCCUUCCUUCCGUCCUUCCUUCCUUCCAUCCUUCCUUCCUUCCUUCCUUCCUCCCUCCUUCCUCCCUCCUUCCUCCCUUCUUUCCUUCCUCCUUCCUUCCUCCCUCCCUCCUCCCUCCUCCCUUCCUCCCUCCCUCCCUCCCUCCCUCCCUUCCUUCCUCCUUCCUUCCUCCUCCCUUCCUUCCUUCCUUCCAUCUUUCCUCCCUCCCUCCCUUCCUCCUUCCUUCCUUCCUUCCUCCUCCCUUCCUUCCUUCCUUCCUUCCUUCCUUCCUCCUUCCUUCCUCCCUCCCUUCCUUCCUUCUUCCUUCCUUCCUUCUUCCUUCCGUCCUUCCUUCCUUCCUUCCAUCUUUCCUUCCUUCCUUCCUCCUUCCUUCCUUCCUUCUUCCUUCCUUCCAUCUUUCUUUCCUUCCUUCCUCCCUCCCUUCCUCCCUUCUUUCCUUCCUUCCUUCCUUCCUUCCUCCCUUCUUUCCUUCCUCCCUCCCUUCCUCCUUCCUUCCUCCUUCCUUCCUUCCUUCCUUCCUUCCGUCCUUCCUUCCUUCCUGUCCUUCCUUCCUCCUCCCUUCCUUCCUCCCUCCCUCCCUCCCUCCCUCCCUCCCUUCCUCCCUCCUCCCUCCCUUCCUUCCAUCCUUCCUUCCUUCCUUCCUUCCUUCCUUCCUUCCUUCCUCCCUCCCUUCCUUCCUUCUUCCUUCCUUCCGUCCUUCCUUCCUUCCGUCCUUCCUUCCUUCCUUCCUUCCUUCCUCCCUCCCUCCCUUCCUCCUCCCUCCCUUCCUUCCGUCCUUCCUUCCUUCCUUCCUUCCUUCCUUCCUUCUUCCUUCCUCCUUCCUUCCUUCCGUCCUUCCUUCCUUCCUUCCUUCCUCCUUCCUUCCUUCUUCCUUCCUCCUUCCUUCCUCCUUCCUUCCUUCCUUCCUUCCUUCCUUCCUUCCUCCCUCCCUUCCUCCCUCCCUUCCUUCCUUCCUCCUCCCUCCCUCCCUCCCGCCCUCCCCUCCCUCCUUCCUCCCUCCCUUCCUUCCUUCUUCCUUCCUUCCUUCUUCCUUCCUUCCUUCCGUCCUUCCUUCCUCCCUCCCUCCCUCCUCCCUCCCUCCCUCCCUCCCUCCCUUCCUUCCUUCCGUCCUUCCUUCCUCCUCCCUCCCUCCCUCCCUUCCUUCCUCCUCCCUCCCUCCCUCCCUCCCUUCCUUCCUUCCGUCCUUCCUUCCUUCCUUCCUCCCUCCCUCCCUCCCUUCCUCCUUCCUUCCUCCUCCCUCCCUCCCUUCCUUCCUUCCGUCCUUCCUUCCUUCCUUCCUUCCGUCCUUCCUUCCUUCCUUCCUUCCUUCCUCCUUCCUUCCUCCCUCCCUCCCUUCCUCCUUCCUUCCUCCUUCCUUCCUCCUUCCUUCCUCCUUCCUUCCUUCCUUCCUUCCUUCCUUCCUUCCUUCCUUCCUUCUUCCUUCCUUCCUUCUUCCUUCCUUCCUUCCUUCCUCCCUCCCUUCCUUCCUUCCUUCUUCCUUCCUUCCAUCCUUCCUUCCUUCCUCCCUCCCUCCCUCCCUCCCUUCCUUCCUUCCUUCCUUCCUUCUUCCUUCCUUCCUUCCCUACAGGCUAACUUUUCAAACCUUGAUUAG
ensembl:lncRNA